rnacentral:rRNA from 1 species
UUCCACAGCCAUAUCACCCUGCAGCCCAAGACUGGUUGCCCACUGAAGCUAAGCAGGGUUGAGCCUGGUUAGUACCUGGAUGGGAGACCUCCUGGGAAAACUAGGUUGCUGCUGGAAG